CAUGCAAGUCGAGCGGUAAGGCCCUUCGGGGUACACGAGCGGCGAACGGGUGAGUAACACGUGGGUGAUCUGCCUUGCACUCUGGGAUAAGCCUGGGAAACUGGGUCUAAUACCGGAUAUGACCUCCAGUUGCAUGACUGGGGGUGGAAAGAUUUAUCGGUGCAAGAUGAGCCCGCGGCCUAUCAGCUUGUUGGUGGGGUAAUGGCCUACCAAGGCGACGACGGGUAGCCGGCCUGAGAGGGCGACCGGCCACACUGGGACUGAGACACGGCCCAGACUCCUACGGGAGGCAGCAGUGGGGAAUAUUGCACAAUGGGCGGAAGCCUGAUGCAGCGACGCCGCGUGAGGGAUGACGGCCUUCGGGUUGUAAACCUCUUUCGACUCCGACGAAGCGAAAGUGACGGUAGGAGUAUAAGAAGCACCGGCCAACUACGUGCCAGCAGCCGCGGUAAUACGUAGGGUGCGAGCGUUGUCCGGAAUUACUGGGCGUAAAGAGCUUGUAGGCGGCUUGUCGCGUCGAUCGUGAAAACUCGGGGCUCAACCCCGAGCUUGCGGUCGAUACGGGCAGGCUUGAGUACUUCAGGGGAGA
rnacentral:rRNA from 1 species